UACGGGGGAGCAAGCGUUGUUCGGAUUUACUGGGCGUAAAGAGCGCGCAGGCGGUCGUUCAAGUCGCGUGUGAAAGCCCCCGGCUCAACUGGGGAGGGUCACGCGAUACUGAUCGACUCGAAGGCAGGAGAGGGUAGUGGAAUUCCCGGUGUAGUGGUGAAAUGCGUAGAUAUCGGGAGGAACACCAGUGGCGAAGGCGGCUCACGUGCCCGAUACUGACGCUGAGGCACGAAAGCGUGGGGAGCAAACAGG
rnacentral:rRNA from 1 species